ACCAUCCUUGUAGGAUUUAUGGAUAUCAAAAUAUGGAUGUUUUUAUUACACUAUCACUUUAAGGGUAACUUCCCAGUUCCCUAUUACAUAGUUAGCAAUCCAUAUUCCAAAAGUGCCUAAAAUUGUCUCAUUAUAUACAAACUGUGGUGGUACUCUGAUCUUAUUUGUGUUUACGGCUCUGCUCCCCCCUCCCCGCCUUUUUUCUGUUUUCUUUUUUCUUUUUCCUUUUUCUCUCCCUUCGUUCUGAUUGUCUUAUUACCAUUAAGAUAUAGAUAUGUUGUCUUGAAGAAAAAAACUUGUAUCUGUUUCAUUAAAUAUAAUAAACUAAGAUAUUCUGCAUAUUAUUCAUUGUCAUCCACACUUUGCUGCUAGUGGUUGGCAUACUGUUACAAUCGUAUUUUUGUUUUUUAAGGUAUAUUUCACAUAAUGUUACAUGCUCAUGAUCUUGGUUGCCCUGGUGUUACUGGGGAUUGGCGCGGCCCUUGGGGUUCACUGCAGGAAUUGUAUGGCCGGCUAACCACAGCAUGGGUUGCAUGCUGUGGUUUACUUGGGGUUAAGUGGAGCGAUUCCCUCAUUCAGCGCCGCUUUGAUGGCUUCGCCAUCGAGGGUGUGCGGUGAGUCCAGGGACACGCCCCGACUCCUGCCAUUGGCGGGACGUGUGUCUCCACUCCUCCUCUCCCCGACAGGCCCGCCCUGGCUUGUGUAAGCCUGCUGCGAGCAUCAUCCCGGCUGGGUCACGUGAUGCAGAAGUCCCAUCCGCACACGUGAUCGGAGGCAUCCACAUAUAAUGGGACAGACAGCCCAAACAUUUAGAGGCUACCUCCCCAAAGCUAUUGGCGUGUGAAACAGCAUGACGGCUGAUAUUUGGUGAGUAGACUGACGGUCUCUCCCUAUCUACUUUUACGCUAUCUAUUUACUUUGACAUUUCUCCUAAACGGGCAGUAUACCUAUAUUUAAUACACGCUCAUGUGUGUUUUUUUUUGACCAGAUACCCUCCUACUUCACCACAGCAUCUCUGACUUUCUGGUCUCUAUUUGUAAGGAUUUUCUUCCCUACUCCUAUGGGACUUGUCUCCAUCACCCCUACGCAUGCAGGUUACACCUGCAACCUUGUACCUGUCUAUAAAUUUGAUCAGCUUAUUGUCUGCUGCGGUAUAUAUUUGGAAAAUCUAUAGCUCCUGAAGAAGCACUCAACUGCGAAACAUGUAGAGCUCAUGCAAAAAUACGUCAUAACAAUUACGUUGCUCAUCAACUCACGUUGCUGUCCUUAGUGGACCUCUAUUGGUUUUAGUAAAUUUAUUCUCAUUGUUUUAGUAUCACAGAAUUAUUCUGUGACAAUUCAUGUUUUUUAAAUGUAUUUUGUAUUAUAUGUACUGUAAUGUUGGUUCAAUCACCCAUGUGUCUGGGAUUGUAUCAAUAAACAACUAUUCUGUGUUAA